UACAGAGGAUGCAUGCGUUAUUCGGAAUGAUUGGGCGUAAAGCGUGCGCAGGCGGUUUUGUAAGUCUGUCGUGAAAGCCCCGGGCUUAACCUGGGAAUUGCGAUGGAGACUGCAAGGCUUGAAUCUGGCAGAGGGGGGUAGAAUUCCACGUGUAGCAGUGAAAUGCGUAGAGAUGUGGAGGAACACCGAUGGCGUAGGCAGCCCCCUGGGUCAAGAUUGACGCUCAUGCACGAAAGCGUGGGGAGCAAACAGG
rnacentral:rRNA from 1 species